rnacentral:lncRNA from 1 species
AAAUCCCAACAGCACUGCGGCUUGGCUUGCACGCACUCCAAGCAGCCCAGUGAGCCUCGCCACCUGAGAACUAAAGGCCCGUUGUUUACCGACAGCUCUCCAGGCCUCCUCGACGCGUCUGUUCGCCCGGAGAGAGCCACCGGCGUGGGGGUUGACCAGACACAGCCCCGGACGCCAGGCGCGAGCAGCCGUGCUCAAGGGCUCCAAGCUUCUAUUACCUCAGGUGCUCAGAAGCAGACAGGCGACGAGGCACGGGGUCUCCGCGUCAGCGCGACUUUGGGGACCCGCAGCGUCUCCGCGCGCGGGGGCGCACUUUGGCGCCAGUGGCGGCGGCUCGCGCGCCUCGCCGACACUUCCGAGUGUCCUCGGAGCGUCCAGAGCCGCCGCUGCUCCUGGCCCCCACUAAGAGAACGUUCGAGGUUCCCAGAGGUGCAAGAACUUACCCAAGGUCACAGUGCUCAAAAGUGGCGUGGCCCUGCCUACCUGUCCCACCCUAGAUCAGGCGCCCCGGGAGGUAGGGGCUGGUGCUCGCUUCCCCUUGAGAGGGGUGUGUGCACGGGGACAGGAGCGGGGUCGGCUGCGUGGGGGAAAGCAAGUUACCCGAAGGCUCCAACUUGCAGCCCUCGGCUCGGCAGGACUCGGCUAGCAGCCCCUGUCGCCUCCAGCCCCCAAGGAAACACGAGCUUUGUGCGGCCCCGGAUCGGCCUGAUGCAGUCCGGGCGACUGGCAAAGUCGGGGAAAGCAGAGCCCGAGAAAGCGCGGGCGCGGGAGAGGAGCUGCCGCUGCUGCUGCUGCUGCGGAUUCCUCCAGACAAGUGGCCUCCGAGUCCCGCCGGCUGCCGUCCCCCUCUGGCUCGGCACCUCCAGGAGCAAACAAGUCCCCCAGCCCCUCAGAUCGCCUGACCGCCGGCCGUGCCCUCGGCUCCCGCUGCCCCAGCCCAGCGCCCUGCCCGGCGGCCCGGCUUACCUCCAGCUAGGCUGCCUGCCCGGGAGAGAGGGAACCUUGCAGGGACAGAGGCUCGGACGAAGCUGCCGAGCCCCCAGCCUCUUGGCACGCACGCAGCCACCGCCGCCCGCCGCUGGCUUUCAGAGCCCCCGGCUGGCCGCACGGGAGACCACCCGACCCCAAGGCGCCUGGGCAAAGCCUGCACAGCCGCGCCGCGCCGCCGUACCGCACCGUGCAGCGCCGAUCAGCUCUGGCCCGCGCGCUCGUGCCCGCCCGCCCGCAGCUCCGGCGCCGGACUCUGGGGCGGCGGCGUUAGCAGCCGCCACCACGCUUGGUUCUUUGCGUGGGGACCCAGCUCUCAAGCCCCCAUGGGCGCUCGGAGAGCCCUGGCGCACACGCACACGGCAGCAGGCUGGUCUUGGCUAG